ACUGGUUAUGGGUCUUAUUAAAUUUUAUUAUUCUUCCUGUUUCGGUUUGGGUAGUUCAUAUGUUUCUAGGAAUUUAUAAAUUUUUUUAAGAUUGCCCAAUUU